rnacentral:rRNA from 1 species
GGAGUUUGGGCCGUGUCUCAGUCCCAAUGUGGCCGUUCACCCUCUCAGGCCGGCUACUGAUCGUCGCUUUGGUGGGCCGUUACCCCGCCAACUGGCUAAUACAGACGCGGGUCCGAUCUCAUACCAACCGGUAGUUUUUCACACUGCAUCAUGCGAUGCUGUGCGCUUAUGCGGUAUUAUCAACCGUUUC